GGGGCUGUGGCUCAGUGGACGAGCAUCCGUUUCGCAUGCGGAAGGUCCCAGGUUCAAUCCCCGGCAUCUCCA